rnacentral:rRNA from 1 species
AUUGAACGCUGGCGGCAUGCUUUACACAUGCAAGUCGAACGGUAACAGGCCGCAAGGUGCUGACGAGUGGCGCACGGGUGAGUAAUGCAUCGGAACGUGCCCAGUCGUGGGGGAUAACGCAGCGAAGGCUGCGCUAAUACCGCAUACGAUCUAUGGAUGAAAGCGGGGGACCGUAAGGCCUCGCGCGAUUUGAGCGGCCGAUGUCAGAUAAGGUAGUUGGUGGGGUAAAGGCUCACCAAGCCAACGAUCUGUAGCUCGUAUGGUACGACGACCAGCCACACUGGGACAGAGACACGGCCCAGAUUCCUACGGGAAGCAACAGUGGGGAAUUUUGGACAAGGGGGGAAAGACUGAUCCAGCAAUGCCGCGUGCAGGAAGAAGGCCUUCGGGUUGUAAACUGCUUUUGUACGUAACGAAACGGUCCUGGUUAAUACCUGGUGCUAAUGACGGUACCGUAAGAAUAAGCACCGGCUAACUACGUGCCAGCCGCCGCGGUAACAC